rnacentral:rRNA from 1 species
CCUACGGGCGGCAGCAGUGGGGAAUAUUGGACAAUGGGGGGAACCCUGAUCCAGCCAUGCCGCGUGUGUGAAGAAGGCCCUCGGGUUGUAAAGCACUUUCAGUGAGGAAGAACGCCUGGUGGUUAAUACCCAUCAGGAAAGACAUCACUCACAGAAGAAGCACCGGCUAACUCCGUGCCAGCAGCCGCGGUAAUACGGAGGGUGCGAGCGUUAAUCGGAAUUACUGGGCGUAAAGCGCGCGUAGGUGGCUUGAUAAGCCGGUUGUGAAAGCCCCGGGCUCAACCUGGGAACGGCAUCCGGAACUGUCAAGCUAGAGUGCAGGAGAGGAAGGUAGAAUUCCCGGUGUAGCGGUGAAAUGCGUAGAGAUCGGGAGGAAUACCAGUGGCGAAGGCGGCCUUCUGGACUGACACUGACACUGAGGUGCGAAAGCGUGGGUAGCAAACAGGAUUAGAACCCCAGUAGUC